CAAAUGAAAAAUCCAGGAUUGUCAAGCAACUCAUAAAUGCAUAUUAAAUUACUGCCCUGGGAUGAAUGUAAGAUGAGCCUGAAGAAACUAAAGACCUGAUGGGUCAGCCUUAACUCUCAUCUACUUGGGAAACCAUCCCUGCAGUGACCAAACAUUAAUUCUUCUUAAUGGUUUGCUGAAUUCAUUGUGGGCUAAAGCAUGGCAUGGUCAUGGUCAAAUGAGGACAAUAUUCAUGAUCAUGGUAAAGAAAAAAAACCUUGUUGCCUUGAUGACCUUCUGGAGCAAGCUUCUGCCUAAACUGGACUGCCUCCUACCUCUGGUCUACUUAAUAAGAAAGAAGUGACAUUAUCAUGUUCGAGAUUCUGUAACUGAGAGGUUCUUUUUGUCAUGGCAGCUUAUCCUAUGACCUCAAUAAUGAAGUUUUAAGAGGCAGAAGCUUUUCAAACGCUUUCCUAAUGGCAAUUGAAGUACUGGCUACUGUGGUAACAAUCGAGGCUGGGAGAAUGAAGACCUUCUGGAAUACGGCAUUCCCAAGCAGAGGGUCAUGUGGAUCACAAGGGCAUCAGAUGAAGGAGCCACAGCCCCAGUCACAGUGAUAUGAACCUGGAGCUAAGCCAAAAACCUUUUCUAUGCUUACUUCCCAGGCAGAAAUAGUUUGUGAUAUGAUUAACAUCAAGCUCUGUAUAAGUUUAAGCCACGCUCUACCUUUUGCUUAUUGAAAAAUAAGAAAGACCCAUAAGGAAGAGAAACUAUGGGCUGCUUCAUCUUUCCCACUCCUCCAUGUCAUCAUUCCCAAUAUAAAAUGACUGAUAUGGAACAGAAACAUGGGAAGCAUCUACACUUAUCCUCACUGACUACAAACCUACUGAACCAAGCCCGACCAAGGUGCUACUGUAGGAAGUUCUACCUGACUGCUUCCACUCCGGGUCUUUCAAACAAAGAAAGCAGCUUCUAGACAAGGUCAUCUGUAGGGCACAGUCCAUGACUUCCACCUGGGAUCACAGUUCUAGAAUUCAAUUUCUAGGCUUCUAGAAGAAGGAAAAGAUAGGAGGAAAAAUGUUACAUCCUGCUAAAGUGAACUGUAAGCAACAGAAAUACAACUAAACAUAGUGACACUGAAGAGCAAGUGGAAGCGGGGGAGACCUUUGUAUUAACACAAUGUAAGUGUGGAAAUGUUUCCAUAUGUUACAAGUUGGUUUCACCAUUUCACUGAGGGAAAUAAAUAAAACAAAUGAAUCCUGUGGCCAACAUGAACAUAAACAUCAAGUUACAAACCACAGACUUACUGGGCAACUGACUGCUGCAAAUCAAGACGAGAUUGUAUAGAGAGUUCAGGAAGAAGAUAGUGAGGCACCCUGCUCUCAGAUGGGUUCCAUGACUCCAUGGAAAAGAACAGAUGGGGGAAGACGCAGGACAUUAGCAGAGGCUUCAAGCAACAAGCAGACCCUGAACUGGUCAUAGAAGGUGCCCUGUAGUUCUUAAAUAGUAAAAGCCAUA